rnacentral:rRNA from 1 species
CCCUUAGAGUUUGAUCCUGGCUCAGAGCGAACGCUGGCGGCAGGCCUAACACAUGCAAGUCGAGCGCCCCGCAAGGGGAGCGGCAGACGGGAGAGUAACACGUGGGAACAUGCCCUUCAGUACGGAACAACCAAGGGAAACUUUGGCUAAUACCGUAUACGUCCGUAAGGAGAAAGAUUUAUCGCUGAAGGAUUGGCCCGCGUCUGAUUAGCUAGUUGGUGAGGUAAUGGCUCACCAAGGCGACGAUCAGUAGCUGGUCUGAGAGGAUGAUCAGCCUCACUGGGACUGAGACACGGCCCAGACUCCUACGGGAGGCAGCAGUGGGGAAUAUUGGACAAUGGGCGCAAGCCUGAUCCAGCCAUGCCGCGUGGAUGAUGAAGGCCCUAGGGUUGUAAAGUCCUUUCGGCGGGGAAGAUAAUGACGGUACCCGCAGAAGAAGCCCCGGCUAACUUCGUGCCAGCAGCCGCGGUAAUACGAAGGGGGCUAGCGUUGCUCGGAAUCACUGGGCGUAAAGCGCACGUAGGCGGACUCUUAAGUCGGUGGUGAAAUCCUGGAGCUCAACUCCAGAACUGCCUUCGAUACUGAGAGUCUCGAGUCCGGGAGAGGUGAGUGGAACUGCGAGUGUAGAGGUGAAAUUCGUAGAUAUUCGCAAGAACACCAGUGGCGAAGGCGGCUCACUGGCCCGGUACUGACGCUGAGGUGCGAAAGCGUGGGGAGCAAACAGAUUAGAUACCCUGGUAGUCCACGCCGUAAACGAUGGAUGCUAGCCGUUGGCAGCUUGCCUGUCAGUGGCGCAGCUACGCAUAAGCAUCCCGCCUGGGGAGUACGGUCGCAGAUAAACU